rnacentral:sRNA from 1 species
GAGGAGCUGACAAGCACAAGUGUGGAACACAUCAUUGUCAAUCCUAAUGCUGCCUAUGACAAGUUCAAAGACAAGAGAGUGGGGACAAAGGGACUUGCUUGGAGAGGGUCUGGGAGUGAAGGAGACACCCCAGCAAAAGUACCAGCGCCUGCUGCAUGAGGUCCAAGAGCUAACCACUGAAGUUGAAAAAAUCAAGACGACAGUGAAGGAGUCAGCCACAGAGGAGAAGCUGACCCCUGUGGUGCUAGCUAAACAGCUGGCAGCCCUGAAGCAGCAGCUGGUUGCUUCCCACCUGGAGAAGCUUCUGGGACCAGAUGCUGCAAUCAACCUUACCGACCCCGAUGGCGCCCUGGCUAAGCGCCUACUACUGCAGCUGGAAGCAACAAAGAACAGCAAAGGGGGAUCAGGGGGAAAAACCACUGGGACCCCCCCAGAUAGCAGCCUUGUCACUUAUGAACUACAUUCUCGGCCUGAGCAGGACAAGUUCUCUCAAGCUGCCAAA